rnacentral:lncRNA from 1 species
UCUUCCUGAAGCCGCACAAGAUGAAAAAGGAGAACAAUGCACAAGUUAAAAUAAUCCAAUAUGAUAAGAACUAUAAACAGAAAAUCAAUGGUAAAUUCAUGAAGAAACAAGAUAAAAAUGGAAUUUUACCAUGGAAGAAAAUGGACAGAAUGAAGAAAAAGUUACAGACAAAUGAGAGUGGCCAUCAAAGGUUUGAGGAAAGGAGCGAAAGAGCACAACCAUUUUUAUGUCAAGAAACCACUCAGUCCCUGUCAAUAUCAACUGAAAACACUUCUGAGGGUUUCAAGACUGAGCCGACUCUUUCUAAUGAUUCAGGGAUCACGGGUGAGUUCAUGUCCUAUGAUGGAUAUGUACCUUAUUAUAGAACAUAUGCAAAACUUGUGGAAACACCAGUUUGUAUGAAUGUAGAUCUGAAACAAGAGAAUGCAGAAAAAGGAGGAGUUCAAAGCAAUGGUUGUGUCUUUAACCCUCAAUAUGAAGAUGAACCCUCAAAUGUCAUGGGUAUUUUUGCCACUGGAUAUUUCCCGUAUUAUAGAACACGUGAAGAGCACUUUAGCACUUCAGAUUUUCCCUGUGAAUCACACAGUACAGCAGAGAGUGGAGAGGCAGAGACAAACAAAGGAGGAGAAGAGGAGAGUGAAAUUGACCAUGACGCUGAAGAUGCAUUUGAAAAUAUGGUUGUUCAGGAAAACCAUGAAACAUAUGAGGAUACCAGCCAAUGGUUUGAUUUUCUUGAAAACCACACAUUAACUGACUCUGUUACAGAGUCUUGUGAUUCAAAGAGCUCUCUCUUGGGUGAAAUAUCAAACCUGAAUCAAUCACCUUCUUCCAGUGACUACUUUCCAUACUAUAGGACAUAUGGAAACUUGCUUCUUGGCCCAAUGAACUCAAAUCAUGUGUGCCAUAGCAGCAGAGAUGAGUUAGAAGGGUUUGAUGUGGAAAUAGAGGAGACUAUGAGGGGAACUAGAGAUCAUAGUAAAAGCUGCUCAGUGUACCUAUGCAAAUCAUAGGCAGGCUUUCCAGGACACUGUUCUACAAGCUUAGUUACAUUUUAUAUUAAAUCUUAUAAUAAGAAGUCAUUAUGCAUACUGAGAAGAUUUUUGAAAGGGUUUGGAAAAGUAUUCAGUGAGAUCUUCCUUUAGCAUUGAGAAAUUGAGUAUCUUCAGUGGAACUAAAUAAAGAGGAUAGAGGAGAAAAUUUAUGGCUAUCA